rnacentral:rRNA from 1 species
UACGUAGGUGGCAAGCGUUGUCCGGAAUUAUUGGGCGUAAAGCGCGCGCAGGCGGUCCUUUAAGUCUGAUGUGAAAGCCCACGGCUCAACCGUGGAGGGUCAUUGGAAACUGGGGGACUUGAGUGCAGAAGAGGAAAGCGGAAUUCCACGUGUAGCGGUGAAAUGCGUAGAGAUGUGGAGGAACACCAGUGGCGAAGGCGGCUUUCUGGUCUGUAACUGACGCUGAGGCGCGAAAGCGUGGGGAGCAAACCGG